rnacentral:sRNA from 1 species
UUUUCGUGCUAAACGUAAACUUACUAUUGGUAAAGAUUCUUAAUGAGUAAUUCUUAGGAUUUAGUACAAAAUUAGAUAUAUUCUUUUUAUUCGUAAUAUAGCAUGAAGUUCUUGCGGGGUAGGAGAGAGAGGUAUUCAUCUGAAAACUGGCUCUGUUUUAGUGUAGACAUUUGUCUACAGGGAAACAGUAGGAAAGCAUCAAUAAAUAUUUCUUGAUGUGUACAAUUGAGGUGAUGUUUACAAUGUAGUGAAAAAAACCUAUGCACGCAUGUUCCUGAUUUUAAUAAACCUCUGCAAAGAUUUCCUUCCUCA